CACGUGGGUAAUCUGCCCCGAUGACCGGGACAACCCGAGGAAACUCGGGCUAAUACCGGAUGUGGUGCUUUGGCUUCAGCCUUUGCACUAAAGGAAGCUUCGGCCUCCGCAUUGGGAGGAGCCCGCGGCCCAUUAGCUUGUUGGUGGGGUAACGGCCUACCAAGGCGACGAUGGGUAGCUGGUCUGAGAGGACGAUCAGCCACACUGGGACUGAGACACGGCCCAGACUCCUACGGGAGGCAGCAGUGGGGAAUCUUGCGCAAUGCGCGAAAGCGUGACGCAGCAACGCCGCGUGGGGGA
rnacentral:rRNA from 1 species